GACGAACGCUGGCGGCGUGCUUAACACAUGCAAGUCGAACGGAAAGGCCCUGCUUUUGUGGCGUGCUCGAGUGGCGAACGGGUGAGUGACACGUGAGUAACCUGCCCUUGACUUUGGGAGAUCUGCAGGAGACUCGGGCUAAUACCGGAUAGGAGCUCCGGCUGCGUGGUGUGGGUUGGAAAGUUUCGGCGGUUGGGGAUGGACUCGCGGCUUAUCAGCUUGUUGGUGGGGUAGUGGCUCACCAAGGCUUUGACGGGUAGCCGGCCUGAGAGGGUGACCGGCCACAUUGGGACUGAGAUACGGCCCAGACUCCUACGGGAGGCAGCAGUGGGGAAUAUUGCACAAUGGGCGGAAGCCUGAUGCAGCAACGCCGCGUGCGGGAUGACGGCCUUCGGGUUGUAAACCGCUUUCGCCUGUGACGAAGCGUGAGUGACGGUAACGGGUAAAGAAGCACCGGCUAACUACGUG
rnacentral:rRNA from 1 species